GGGGUGAGUUUAGUACGUAGGUGCUGACGGAGUCAGCAAAUCGUGCAUACGGUUUCCCGUGCCUUCAGUAUCCUACGAAGAUUUUCACCUC
rfam:Drosophila virilis strain TSC#15010-1051.87 Ctg01_15936, whole genome shotgun sequence.